rnacentral:lncRNA from 1 species
AUGUUUUUAAAACCUUUCCUUCAUAACAAAAGAAACAAUACUCUCUUUCUAUUCUGUGUGUUUUUCAGUUCCUACAAAAUGGAAUUUCAGGACCUCAGGCAAAAAGGAAAUAGAACUGCCAAAAAAACACAGCGACAAAUUGGUGCUUGCCUGAAUUGCAGAAUGGGAGCAUUAUUUCAUGAAAACACUUCCAUAUGUAGGAGGAGGAGGCUUCAUAACAGGAUGCCAAUAUUCAAAGGCUCAUCAAUCCAACAAGAAAUUCAUAAUUCAAGAAACUAAAGAUUCAAAGAGAAGGGAUCUUCUUCUUUUCCCUCACUGUACAGCAAUAUCAUUACAGAGUUGACAAAAGAAUUCAUUUUUACCAAGUUCUGAAUAAAUGUGUGGAUUUCUGGUAAGUUCUCAUAAAAAAUAUAUUUUUCUCUGAACCACAUUUUCUUGUUCAUAGUAGGCGUGUGCAAUUCGGCUGAAGGGUGAUCCAUUUUUGGUAUCCAGAUCCAUUUUUUGGGAGCCUCCUGAAAAUUGGCUAAUGAAAAACUCUGUUUUCAACUAGGCAGUUGAAAGAUCUGGGAAGAUCUGGC